AGUGAACGCUGGCGGUAGGCCUAACACAUGCAAGUCGAACGGCAGCACAGUAAGAGCUUGCUCUUACGGGUGGCGAGUGGCGGACGGGUGAGGAAUACAUCGGAAUCUACUUUUUCGUGGGGGAUAACGUAGGGAAACCUACGCUAAUACCGCAUACGACCUACGGGUGAAAGCAGGGGAUCUUCGGACCUUGCGCGAUUGAAUGAGCCGAUGUCGGAUUAGCUAGUUGGCGGGGUAAAGGCCCACCAAGGCGACGAUCCGUAGCUGGUCUGAGAGGAUGAUCAGCCACACUGGAACUGAGACACGGUCCAGACUCCUACGGGAGGCAGCAGUGGGGAAUAUUGGACAAAGGGCGCAAGCCUGAUCCAGCCAUACCGCGUGGGUGAAGAAGGCCUUCGGGUUGUAAAGCCCUUUUGUUGGGAAAGAAAAGCAGCAGGUUAAUACCCCGCUGUUCUGACGGUACCCAAAGAAUAAGCACCGGCUAACUUCGUG
rnacentral:rRNA from 1 species